CCCUCCAAAUUUUUUUCUAAAAAUUUCCCGACGCUCGUGAUGUCGAGUAGGUCGAUGUGGUAUAUUCAUAUACCCAAAUUGAGCAUCGUAUGAGAAGUUAUUUCGAAAAAUUGGUGACGUGUUUAAAAUUAACGUUUUUAUAGUUGUUUCGCAUAUAGGUGAGACGUAUUCCGAGGACGACCGCAUCCAGGGACGCCACGGGGGUUACGACCCGUCGACUUAUCAGUGAGUGGGCAGUUUUGAUUUCGUAUUUACCUAUAUACAUUUAUUUUCCCAGAAAAUACGCGUUUUUAUGAAAGUUAUGAAUUUAAUUGCCAUGCAUGAAUUAUUGAGAUAUCUAGCUUGAUAAUUGUUGCAUAUAUAUGUGAAAUGACGCGGUGGACGCUCAGGUGAGUUUAUUUAUUUUUCAGCUGAGUUAUUUAUAUUGAAUUUCAGUGAAAGCUCAUAACCUGCACCUAGGUGAUAGUGCUUAUAUUGUUAUUCACCACACCGCACGCUCGCCUUGGAUCCAAGUAGGUGGAUGUCGUACAGACCAUGUGAGGGUUCCGACAUGCCAGUCGUACAGACCAUUAGAGGGGUUCCGACUGGUGGGUGACCUUAGAUAUGCGCGCUGAUGAUUGAUGUGAGAAGCACUAGAGCGUAUUUAUACACCUGUCAUCGUACAGACUACCUUAUGUAGUUCCGAGUGACGUGCAGAGUUAGACCGUACAGGUCACCGAGGUGACUCCGGUUGGAUUGGAUGUUGAGCUUUAGAAUCAGCCGUACAGGACCAUUGUAGGGUCUCCGGUUGAUUUAUUAUUCACCUGACUAUUAUUGAUGCAUUCUGAUUAUAUUUUUGGGCAUGGCAUAUCAUUUCUGAGAUAUUAUGAUGAUGGAUAUGUGCUGAGUGAUGAUGUUGCGUAUAUAUAUAUGUAUAUAUACUAUUUUCUGGGAAAGUAUACAGGUUUUUACGGCGAGGGGAUAGAAUUGUUUUUAAUGAACUGUUUUGGAAAACCAUUUGAUUUUUACUGACCCACUCAUUUUGUUUUGCGCCCCUCCAGGUUCUAGUUUAGCGGUUGGUGGCUCUCGAGGUCUUAUUCCGGCUUCUGACAGACCCUUUACAUGUAGGACUCACCUGAGGGUGAUGUAUUUUUAUUUUAGUCCUACUUGACUGCAGUUAACCUAUGCUCUGAACUUAUGUGUUUACUUUAUAACUCGUCCGGUUAUGUUCGUAGGUUGAUAUGUUUGAGUUUGGCUUGAAUUUCUACUGAUUUAUGUUGUUGUUGUUGUUGUUGUUUGCUUCCGUGUCGCGCCCAUGGUUACGUCACGCCCACGUGACGGCCAGCACACCUGGAUCCUCCGGAUCGGGGUGUAUCAAUAUAUAUAUAUUAUAUAUAUAUAUAUAUAUAUAUAUAUAUAUAUAAUUAUUAUAGUUAAUAUUUUGGGGGUAUAAUUAUUAUAGUAUAUAUAAUUAUUAUAAUUAAUUUAAUAUAUAUAUUUAUUUAUUAUAGUUUUUAGGGGUAUAAAAUUGUUAAAUUAAUAUAUAUAUAUAUAUAAUUAUAGUAUUUUUUUAGGGUUAUAAAAUUAAUAUUCUGCUUAUCGUGUAUCGUGUUACCCACUUGUAUACCCGAAUCAACCCGUUAUCUUAACAGGUGCUUAUCAGGUUACCCGAUAACGACCCGAUUCGUUAUCGUGUCGACCCGAACACCUGUUAAUUUCAUGUCGUGUCCUGUCGGGUUAUCAGGUCGUGUCAGGAAUUUCCCGGCCUACCGACAACCCAUCAAGUCCAAUUGCCGACCCAACACCACUUCUCUGUUAUGUUCCUGUUAAUACAUUGAUCAUAAUUAGUGAUAUCUUAGUAGAUUAAAUAAUGAGUAUUAGUGAGUGAUUAGUCAUUACCAGCUGGCAAUUUGGUUUUUAGUUCCAUAUUCUAGAUGCAACCACGACAUCAAAAUAUCAAAUCGAGUCUAUGGUUUAUAUACACCAAAGUCACUCCAAAUACUCAUCCAAAUUAUUCGAAUAAACCAAAUACCAAUUUUUUUUUUUUGUGGGUCAUUUCAUUCGUUGAAAAUCCCGAACUCAUUCUAAAGAACUACAAGUGGCUUGAUCCUUCAAAACGGGUACGUAGGUAAUUUAGGCAUUUGCUUAAAUACAACCACACAAUCAAACAAACACUUAAAUCCCCAAAUUUACGGUCUAUUCAUAUUGGAAUUAAGGGGUUUUCCAUUUUAAGAUUGUUUUAAUAGACGCAUAGUCUUUUUAAUGGGUUUGGUAGGGUGUGGGGUCCACGGUCUUUUUAAUAAAAAUGAAAUAUUUUAAUUUAAUUGGACAAAGGAGUGGGUUCCGCGUUUUCCAUGUUUACAGUUAACGAUUAAUUUAACAGAUUAACUAACGGAAGUUUGACAUUACAACGAAUUUGUAAGUUGAUGUAUAACAUUGCAAUGUUCAAAAGAUGUGGUAUAAAUUUGUAAUGCGACCCAAAUUGAAGUGAUAAAAUGUGAUUUACCCAUUUAUCAUAAUUUUCUUUUUCUACCAUGAAUCUUGUAUUAACUAAUUGGAAUAAGCACUAAUUUCAGUACAAGUAGAUUAACCUAAAGAAUUUGAGUUCGAAAUCAUUGAAUUCGACCCACAGUUGACAAGACAAGGAUCCUCUCCAUAUCCCAUUUGUGAGGAUCCUAGGGAUCCUCAUAUCCUAUCCGUUUAUCGUACAUCGUGCGGCCUGCUUUUGUUAGGUACUGUUUGUGUUUAAUUUUAAAUUAAAAUAAUUUAUGACCGCACAAUGUACGAUAAAUAACGAAUAUGAUGUUUGGAUCCCUAAAAUCCUCACAAAGAGGAUUCAGAUGGAAUCCAAAUCUAGUUGACAAUUGUGUUGUAAUAAUUGAACUGGCAUUCUAAUGCAAGUUGUUGAGUAAGAUUGAACACAUGGUGAUAGUUAGACCUGACAUUUUGGACCCAACCCGUUAAUCUGACCCGACCCGUUAAUAUUAGUAUUUGGGUGGACUUAACAGGUCGAGUCGGGUCGUUAACAGAUGAACCCGUUAACAACCCGUUAAAUAACAGGUCACUUUGGGUCAACCUGUUAG
rnacentral:lncRNA from 1 species